rnacentral:rRNA from 1 species
GUACACUCCUACGGGAGGCAGCAGUGGGGAAUUUUGGACAAUGGGCGAAAGCCUGAUCCAGCAAUGCCGCGUGAGUGAAGACGGCCUUCGGGUUGUAAAGCUCUUUUGUCAGGGAAGAAACGGUGAGAGCUAAUAUCUCUUGCUAAUGACGGUACCUGAAGAAUAAGCACCGGCUAACUACGUGCCAGCAGCCGCGGUAAUACGUAGGGUGCAAGCGUUAAUCGGAAUUACUGGGCGUAAAGCGUGCGCAGGCGGUUUUGUAAGUCUGAUGUGAAAUCCCCGGGCUCAACCUGGGAAUUGCAUUGGAGACUGCAAGGCUAGAAUCUGGCAGAGGGGGGUAGAAUUCCACGUGUAGCAGUGAAAUGCGUAGAUAUGUGGAGGAACACCGAUGGCGAAGGCAGCCCCCCGGGUCAAGAUUGACGCUCAUGCACGAAAGCGUGGGGAGCAAACAGGAUUAGAUACCCCAGUAGUCCCA